CGGUGACUGGGUCAAUUGUUGUUGUUUGUCCUCCAAGACCACCUCCGCUCAUCAAAAGAAGAGGCAAGAGACUGCUGGAUGAACCACCUACCAAGCUUCGUCCUCUUCUUCUUGUG